AAUGGAAGGCCUGUAGUGUUUAUUCUCUUACAGUAACAACUUAUCAAUUUUUUGGAUGAAUUUAUUUGAGAAUUUUUUGGUUUUUAUUAAUUGUGCAAUAGAAAAGUAAUCGCUAGAUUAAUCAUCUAAAUAGUCAUUAGAAUAGUGGACUAUUCGAUAAAAUAAUCGUCAGAAUAAUCAUUUUAAAAAUAAUCAGUUACCCCCAACCCUACUUUUUAGAAUACCAGGAUAGGAAGGAUGGUGUAGGUUUACAUUUAUUAGAUUGAUACAUAAAUACUACCAAUAAGAAAGUGUACGUUGGUGUGUGUCAGAAACAGCAUAAGGCUUAAUGUCUUUUCCAAAAAAAAAACAGGUGAUGGGCCGGUCUCCAGUCAAAAUGCCCGGGCUGAAUUUUUGUCCCAGUCCAGCCCUGGCCUGACCCCUGCCUUGCUCUCUGCCUGCCACUUUGACCUUAGCCUGCCUCUGAACCUGCCUCAGCCUUGCCCUCCAGGCUGGGAUCCUAAAGGGAAUUUCCAUCCUACUUCUGUGGCUGAAUGACAUCUUCAACCAAUUUUGGUACAUUUGCCAGAAAGCACAACAUUGUGAUAUGUUUAAUGACAUGUGGGUGGGUGUGCUUCACCUUGUCACAGGGAAGCAUGAAUGGACCCGUGGCAAAUGUGACCGUGGACCACUUGAUGCAACGACCAGUGAUAAAGAGCUCAUGGUACCAUGAUCUCCACCACAAGAGGCUCUUCAACGAAUCAUGUUCAACAGACGCUGGUUGAAGGAUGUCACCAAUCUGACUUUUAGGCCCCAGCUACGUGAAGCAUCAAAAGACAGGAAUGACUUCUUUCAUGCACACAGAUUUAUUAGAAAUUAAGAAAAAAUACUAU